AUGGCCACAUCACAAUGAAACACUGGUUCCUGUACGAUCACUAAAGUUAAGCAACGUUGAGUCUGUCCAGUAACUAGAUGGGUGACCGCUUGUGAAUAUCAGGUGCUGUAAG